CCUACGGGUGGCAGCAGUGGGGAAUAUUGGACAAUGGGCGAAAGCCUGAUCCAGCCAUGCCGCGUGUGUGAAGAAGGCCUUCGGGUUGUAAAGCACUUUCAGUGGGGAAGAAAGCCUUGGGGCUAAUACCCUCGAGGAAGGACAUCACCCACAGAAGAAGCACCGGCUAACUCCGUGCCAACAGCCGCGGUAAUACGGAGGGUGCGAGCGUUAAUCGGAAUUACUGGGCGUAAAGCGCGCGUAGGCGGUCUGAUAAGCCGGUUGUGAAAGCCCCGGGCUCAACCUGGGAACGGCAUCCGGAACUGUCAGGCUAGAGUGCAGGAGAGGAAGGUAGAAUUCCCGGUGUAGCGGUGAAAUGCGUAGAGAUCGGGAGGAAUACCAGUGGCGAAGGCGGCCUUCUGGACUGACACUGACGCUGAGGUGCGAAAGCGUGGGUAGCAAACAGGAUUAGAUACCCGGGUAGUC
rnacentral:rRNA from 1 species